UUUCCGUAGGUGAACCUGCGGAAGGAUCAUUAACACGUAUCCACGUAUCAACCCCUCUGUGCAAAUCACUUGUUGAAAGGUUUGGUGUUAGUUCACUGCUCAUAUGGAUCCUAAUGAUGGUGGCUUCACGGCCAAGGGUCUGAGUGGUGGGUGUUUGACCAUCAGCCGCUAUUUUCCCAUUGUUAGCCCCUUUUUUCUAUCUAUAACCCCUUGUACAACUCUAUGUACUGAACCAACAUUCUUCGAUGCUCUCUCUGAGAGUGACGAAAGAUAUUACGAAACUAAAAGAACAACUCUUAGCAACGGAUAUCUUGGUUCCC
rnacentral:misc_RNA from 1 species